UAUCCAGCCCAGAUACUACGCUUUUCUCAC
rnacentral:piRNA from 1 species